rnacentral:rRNA from 1 species
AUUGAACGCUGGCGGCAGGCCUAACACAUGCAAGUCGAGCGAGCGGCGGACGGGUGAGUAAUGUCUGGGAAACUGUCUGAUGGAGGGGGAUAACUACUGGAAACGGUAGCUAAUACCGCAUACCAUCUGAUGUUCCCAGAUGGGAUUAGCUCGUAGGUGGGGUAACGGCUCACCUAGGCGACGAUCCCUAUCUGGGCUGAGAGGAUGACCAGCCACAAGGGAACGGAGAAACGGUCCAGACUCCGACGGUAGGCAGCAGUGGGGAAUAUUGCACAAUGGGCGCAAGCCGGAUGCAGCCAUGCCGCGUGUAUGAAGAAGGCCUUAGGGUUGUAAAGUACUUUCAGCGGGGAGGCGUUACCCGCAGAAGAAGCACCGGCUAACUCCGUGCCAGCAGCCGCGGUAAUAC